CGUACACUCCUGCGGGAGGCAGCAGUGGGGAAUAUUGGACAAUGGGCGCAAGCCUGAUCCAGCCAUGCCGCGUGAGUGAUGAAGGCCCUAGGGUUGUAAAUCUCUUUCACCGGAGAAGAUAAUGACGGUAUCCGGAGAAGAAGCCCCGGCUAACUUCGUGCCAGCAGCCGCGGUAAUACGAAGGGGGCUAGCGUUGUUCGGAAUUACUGGGCGUAAAGCGCACGUAGGCGGAUCGAUCAGUCAGGGGUGAAAUCCCAGGGCUCAACCCUGGAACUGCCUUUGAUACUGUCGAUCUGGAGUAUGGAAGAGGUGAGUGGAAUUCCGAGUGUAGAGGUGAAAUUCGUAGAUAUUCGGAGGAACACCAGUGGCGAAGGCGGCUCACUGGUCCAUUACUGACGCUGAGGUGCGAAAGCGUGGGGAGCAAACAGGAUUAGAAACCCCAGUAGUCCCAUGA
rnacentral:rRNA from 1 species